GGCAGAGGUGCCGAGCGUUAGGCGGAAUCACUGGGCUUAAAGCGUGUGUAGGCGGACCUGUAAGUACCUUGUGAAAUCCCACGGCUCAACCGUGGAACUGCUGGGUAUACUGCGGGUCUUGAGCCACCUAGGGGCGAGCGGAACAAGUGGUGGAGCGGUGAAAUGCGUAGAUAUCACUUGGAACGCCAAUGGUGAAAACAGCUCGCUGGGGGUGUGCUGACGCUGGAGACACGAAAGCCAGGGGGAGCAAACGGG
rnacentral:rRNA from 1 species